rnacentral:rRNA from 1 species
AAAUUGAAGAGUUUGAUCAUGGCUCAGAUUGAACGCUGGCGGCAGGCCUAACACAUGCAAGUCGAACGGUAGCACAGAGAGCUUGCUCUCGGGUGACGAGUGGCGGACGGGUGAGUAAUGUCUGGGAAACUGCCUGAUGGAGGGGGAUAACUACUGGAAACGGUGGCUAAUACCGCAUAAUGUCGCAAGACCAAAGAGGGGGACCUUCGGGCCUCUUGCCAUCAGAUGUGCCCAGAUGGGAUUAGCUAGUUGGUGAGGUAACGGCUCACCAAGGCGACGAUCCCUAGCUGGUCUGAGAGGAUGACCAGCCACACUGGAACUGAGACACGGUCCAGACUCCUACGGGAGGCAGCAGUGGGGAAUAUUGCACAAUGGGCGCAAGCCUGAUGCAGCCAUGCCGCGUGUAUGAAGAAGGCCUUCGGGUUGUAAAGUACUUUCAGCGGGGAGGAAGGUGUUGUGGUU